rnacentral:rRNA from 1 species
GUGCCAGCAGCCGCGGUAAUACGGAGGGUGCAAGCGUUAUCCGGAUUCACUGGGUUUAAAGGGUGCGUAGGUGGAUCAAUAAGUCAGUGGUGAAAGCCCCGAGCUCAACUUGGGAAUUGUCAUUGAUACUGUAGAUCUUGAGUGCGGUUGAGGUAGGCGGAAUGUUACAUGUAGCGGUGAAAUGCUUAGAUAUGUAACAGAACACCAAUUGCAAAGGCAGCUUACCAAGCCGAUACUGACACUGAGGCACGAAAGCGUGGGGAUCAAACAGGAUUAGAAACCCGGGUAGUCC